rnacentral:lncRNA from 1 species
GGAAAGCCCCUGAGCUGGAAAAUAGCACUGAGGUGGUUUCAUGAAAGAGGAAGCAGCAAGGCUGGGCCUUGAAGAACGUGAAGGAGUCACCCAGCUAGAGAGGGCAGGAGGGUGUUCCACGAAGUACAAACAUCAUGAACAGAAAGUCAAAGAGUGAAAGUGAAGGGAGGAUUGGGGAGCAGUGAACAGACAAUGUGAGAGAGCUGCGGCACCAUGGAGAAGAGUAAUGAGAGGGACAUCCUGAAGGAAAGACAAUAUGAAGGACUGUCGAUGCCAAAGAAAGGACUUUCAGCCAUAUGCACGCAAUGGGGAGCAAUGCAAGAUUGUCAACCAAGAGACUGAGGUGACCAGAUCUGCUUCACAGCAGCAGCAGCAGCAGUGUACAUGGAAGAUUAGAGGACCGAGAGAGAUGCAUGUCAGGAAAAUCAGCUAACAGACUCUAAAAUAACUAAGACUUGAGAAAGAUCUGGAUCAAAGCUUUAACAGCAGCAAUAAAGAAAAAAGAAGAGACAUUUCUGUAAUCAGAUCUAGAAAAGUUGAUGACCCCCAGGAUAACAGCCAUGAAAGUGAGAAGUGCAGGACACAAUGGUUUAAGCUUGGAAUCUCAGCCACUCCGAAGUCGCUGAGGUGCUGCUACCACAAACAUGAGGAAACUUCUGUUAGGAGUUCAACCUUCAGAGAGGACAGCUGGCAGUGCAAGAUGGUGACAGCCCUGCAAUCAGGAGAAGAAAGUCAUGAGAGUAAGGAAUGAUGGAGAGGGAUGAGAGCGUUUUCUAGGAUUUGAAGAGUUAAGAGACUCUGAAUAAUUGGCAGGGGAAGCUGGGAUGGAGAACAAAGUAGGAGAAGAAUCAUUUGCUGUGAACUCUGUAUUUGGAUUCCAUUUUUGAUGAUCUUUGAAAAUGGGAAUAAAGGAUUUGGGUUAUUUUUAAAUUCCUUUGGAGGCUAGACAGUUUCCCUAAAUUCAGCAUUCCCUUUGAAACUAGACCGCAUGAGUCUCUGGUUUGUGCAGGGUUACCCUGGGUCAGAGUUGCCUCUAGAAUAAGCAAUGGGUAAGUCCUUGAGCUGUUGGAAGCGCAUGGAGUGCCUGACAG